UACGUAGGGUGCGAGCGUUGCCCGGAUUUAUUGGGCGUAAAGGGCGCGUAGGCGGCCACGCACGUCCGUUGUGAAAUCGCCCGGCUCAACUGGGCGGGGUCAGCGGAUACGGUGUGGCUAGAGCAAGCUAGGGGGCAAUGGAAUUCCCGGUGUAGUGGUGGAAUGCGUAGAUAUCGGGAGGAACACCAGUGGCGAAGGCGGUUGCCUGGAGCUUUGCUGACGCUGAUGCGCGAAAGCGUGGGGAG
rnacentral:rRNA from 1 species